UACGUAGGGUGCGAGCGUUAAUCGGAAUUACUGGGCGUAAAGCGUGCGCAGGCGGUCCGCUAAGACCGAUGUGAAAUCCCCGGGCUUAACCUGGGAACUGCAUUGGUGACUGGCGGGCUGGAGCAUGGCAGAGGGGGGUAGAAUUCCACGUGUAGCAGUGAAAUGCGUAGAGAUGUGGAGGAAUACCGAUGGCGAAGGCAGCCCCCUGGGCCAAUACUGACGCUCAUGCACGAAAGCGUGGGGGAGCAAACAGGG
rnacentral:rRNA from 1 species